rnacentral:rRNA from 1 species
ACGCUCGACACCUACGGGAGGUAGCAGUGGGGAAUAUUGCACAAUGGAGGAAACUCUGAUGCAGCGAUGCCGCGUGAGGGAAGAAGGUUUUCGGAUUGUAAACCUCUGUCUUUGGGGACGAUAAUGACGGUACCCAAGGAGGAAGCUCCGGCUAACUACGUGCCAACAGCCGCGGUAAUCUGAGCGGGCUGGCAAGGC